UACGUAGGAGGCAAGCGUUGUCCGGAAUUACUGGGCGUAAAGCGCGUGUAGGUGGUGGGACAAGUCUGCUGUGAAAGCGCCUGGCUUAACCGGGCGAGGUCGGCGGAAACUGUCGCACUCGAGGGACGGUAGAGGGGGGUGGAAUUCCCGGUGUAGUGGUGAAAUGCGUAGAGAUCGGGAGGAACACCUGUGGCGAAGGCGGCCCCCUGGGCC
rnacentral:rRNA from 1 species